GCCAGUGACGGGCAUGCAUCGGCGGAGGUGAGUAGGGUGCGGGGAGGGGCCGUAAUUGUUGGGCGUAAUGGGGUCGUAGGUGGGUUGUGGGGUGGGUCGUGAAUACGCACAGCUGAACGGGGGGCGUGAGGGCGAUACGGGCAGACUAGAGUACGGCAGGGGAGACUGGAAUGCCUGGUGUAGCGGUGGAAUGCGCAGAUAUCAGGAUGAACACCGGUGGCGAAGGCGGGUCUCUGGGCAGUAACUGACGCUGAGGAGCGAAAGCGUGGGGAGCGAACAGGAUUAGAUACCCGAGUAGUC
rnacentral:rRNA from 1 species